rnacentral:rRNA from 1 species
AGAGUUUGAUCAUGGCUCAGGAUGAACGCUAGCUACAGGCUUAACACAUGCAAGUCGAGGGGAAACGACAUCGAAAGCUUGCUUUUGAUGGGCGUCGACCGGCGCACGGGUGAGUAACGCGUAUCCAACCUGCCCACCACUUGGGGAUAACCUUGCGAAAGUAAGACUAAUACCCAAUGAUAUCUCUAGAAGACAUCUGAAAGAGAUUAAAGAUUUAUCGGUGAUGGAUGGGGAUGCGUCUGAUUAGCUUGUUGGCGGGGUAACGCCACAAGGCGACGAUCAGUAGGGUUCUGAGAGGAAGGUCCCCCANAUUGGAACUGAGACACGAUCCAAACUCCUAGGGAGCA